UUUUUUUGUUUCGUAGGUAUACAUGCGAAAGGAAUCAUGUACCGGAGGUUCUUUCAGUGGGGUCGCCCCGGCGCGCCCGAACCAUCCAACACCUUUGUUUUACCCGACCUUUAUUGUUGCUUCGGCAGGCCCGCCGCCCCUUCGAUGGGUGGCCGCCGGGGGCUUAACAGCCCCGGGCCCGCGCCUGUCGACGGCCCCAACCACAAACUCUUGUACUUAAACGUGUCGUCUGAGUUAACAAACAAAAUAAAUUAAAACUUUCAACAACGGAUCUCUUGGUUCUGGCAUCGAUGAAGAACGCAGCGAAAUGCGAUAAGUAAUGCGAAUUGCAGAAUCCGUGAGUCAUCGAAUCUUUGAACGCACAUUGCGCCCUCUGGUAUUCCGGAGGGCAUGCCUGUUCGAGCGUCAUUAUCACCCCUCAAGCCCGGCUUGUUGUUGGACGCGGCGGCGCCUUUGCGCCCCGCCCGUCUCAAAGAUAAUGACGGCGUCUGCGAGGACCCCUGUACACUGAGCUUUCGGGCACGUACUAGGUGUGGAAUCCAGACCCGGUCACCGUCCCUCAGGGACAAACUUUUAACCAGGUUGACCUCGGAUCAGGUAGGAAUACCCCGCUGAACUUAAGCAUAUCAAUAAGCGGAGGAAAAGAAACCAACAGGGAUUGCCUUAGUAACGGCGAGUGAAGCGGCAACAGCUCAAAUUUGAAAUCUGGCUCCUUCGGGGCCCGAGUUGUAAUUUGGAGAGGAUGUUUCGGGCACGGUCCGGGCUUAAAUUUCUUGGAACAGAAUGUCACGGAGGGGUGAGAAAUCCCGUCUGGAGCUCGGACACGACCCAUGUGAAACUCCUUCGACGAGUCGAGUUGGUUUGGGAAUGCAGCUCUAAAUGGGUGGUAAAUUUCAUCUAAAGCUAAAUAUUGGCCAGAGACCGAUAGCGCACAAGUAGAGUGAUCGAAAGAUGAAAAAGCACUUUUGAAAAGAGAGUUUAAACAGUACGUGAAAUUGUUGAAAGGGAAGCGCUGGGCAACCAGACUUGCGCGUCGGGGUUCCCCCUUGCUUCUGCCUGGGGUUACUCCCCGGCGUUCAGGCCAACAUCGGUUUCGGGGGUCGGUUAAAGGCCCUGGGAAUGUACCUACCCUCCGGGGUAGACUUAUAGCCCAGGGUGUCAUGCGGCCUCCCGGACCGAGGAACCGCGUUCGGUCGAUUGUGAUAAAUGGUUACACCCCUUUUUAAAAAAAAAA
rnacentral:rRNA from 1 species